GCCAGACUCCUACGGGAGGCAGCAGUGAGGAAUAUUGGUCAAUGGGCGAGAGCCUGAACCAGCCAAGUCGCGUGAGGGAAGACGGUCCUAUGGAUUGUAAACCUCUUUUGCCGGGGAGCAAAAAGCGGUACGUGUACCGCAUCGAGAGUACCCGGAGAAAAAGCAUCGGCUAACUCCGUGCCAGCAGCCGCGGUAAUACGGAGGAUGCGAGCGUUAUCCGGAUUUAUUGGGUUUAAAGGGUGCGCAGGCGGCGAGUUAAGUCAGCGGUAAAAUUGCGGGGCUCAACCCCGUACUGCCGUUGAAACUGCAUCCCUUGAGUGCGCGAGAAGUAUGCGGAAUGCGCGGUGUAGCGGUGAAAUGCAUAGAUAUCGCGCAGAACUCCGAUUGCGAAGGCAGCAUGCCGGCUCCACACUGACGCUGAGGCACGAAAGCGUGGGUAUCGAACAGGAUUAGAUACCCCUGUA
rnacentral:rRNA from 1 species